CCACUCUUCCCUAAUCGCUGUUCAUUCCCCGGUGCGCUAUCCCGCCAAUGUCUGACCCCAGUUCAAUUUUAUCUCUAAACUUCAGAUUGAAAGGCAUGUACCUGAGUAGCUAUAUUUAAGGAAUUACAACCAAGAAGUCUCAUCUUCCCUGAUAUAGAGGAUAAGAUUCUGAACUUUGAAUUGAUGCCAUAAUGGGAUAACACUCUGGGGCCUUAGAAGGGGAGAACAAAGGCCAUAAAGGUGUUCAAGGGAAGCAAGCAAUAGACAGCAUUGGAUGGUGACAAACCUGUGGCUGGUUUGUGUAUGAUGGGAUGGAUUCCUCCUGCUCCCAGAAGGCACUGUCCUUUCAGUGUUCAGGGCAACCUUGCCUUAGUGCCUCAAACCCAUCCCUACCCCAUCCUGCAGUAAACUUGGAAAGGUAAUACCUCUAACCAAUCAGGUCUUCCUCUGAAGCACAGUCAAGUUGCUCUUGGCAACCAUCUCAAUUUUAAUAGUGCAGAUGCCAUGUGCUGUAAAGUCCUAAAAUUUAAAUUCUUUAUUUCUUGACAUCAUUGCCU